UUGUUGCCUUUUCUUUCCCAGGAAGAGUUGUGGUUUGAGGCAAACAGUCACUGAGUAGCUACAUAGUAUGAACAAACACUGAAGAAGUUGAAGUCUUGAAGAAUGUGGAGACAAAAGCAAAACCUGACUUCUCCAGGAAUACUGAAAAACAACUUUACUUAAUUCUAAGAACCUUCCAGCUCUCAGUCCUGAUUCAUAGUCUGAAGAGCAUAAUUUGGACAGAAUUCCAAACAUAGGAGAAAGGAUCCAUUUCUUCUUGGCUUUGGUCUAUGAGUUUUACCAAGCCCUUAAAACAGCCCUCAUGAAAGUGGAUUGAGUUUGGGUGAAUUUGUCCAAUGCGGAUUUAAAAUGCAAACUACUGGGGUGAAUACAGUAUGUGCAUAUCCUCUGUGCAUAUCUUCAUUAAAUCAAUUUAAUGAAAACAAAAUGAAAUUAAAUCAA